GUUGGGAGGCUCUAGAUACCCUAAAGGCGCCAGCUCCUAUCUAAUCUUGGAAGCUAAGCAGGAUAAUUUCUGGUUAGUAUUUGGAUGGGAGACCACCAAUAAAUACCAGAUGCUGCAGGUC
rnacentral:rRNA from 1 species